rnacentral:tRNA from 1 species
AAUGAGAUGCCUGAUUAAAGGGUUAUCUUGAUAGGAUAAAUCAUGUGGAUUUUAUUCACUCUCAUUA